rnacentral:rRNA from 1 species
UGGGGGAUAUUGCACAAUGGGCGCAAGCCUGAUGCAGCGACGCCGCGUGGGGGAUGAAGGCCUUCGGGUUGUAAACUUCUUUUGCUCUGAACAAGGCGCACUUUGGGGUGUGUUGAGUGUAGGGGUUGAUUAGCGCCGGCUAACUACGUGCCAGCAGCCGCGGUAAUACGUAGGGCGCGAGCGUUGUCCGGAAUUAUUGGGCGUAAAGGGCUUGUAGGUGGCUGGUUGCGUCUGUCGUGAAAGCUCAUGGCUUAACUGUGGGUUUGCGGUGGGUACGGGCGGGCUUGAGUGCAGUAGGGGAGGCUGGAAUUCCUGGUGUAGCGGUGGAAUGCGCAGAUAUCAGGAGGAAUACCGGUGGCGAAGGCGGGUCUCUGGGCUGUUACUGACACUGAGGAGCGAAAGCAUGGGGAGCGAACAGG